rnacentral:lncRNA from 1 species
UUAGAAAUGUGUGAUAAUAAUAUUUGAACAGUAUCACAAGUGUGGUUAUAUUUGAUAUAUGUACUCUUAUUGUAUCGGUGUAAANAUCGAUGUAGUACUUUUUAUUUUACGAGAAAGUAGAAAGGUGGGUCUCUUCGUCUAUGACAGACCGUAGAACAGACAAGGUUCGAGUGCCACUCUUUCCUCUUUCGAGAGGAUAAAAAGGGUAGGAUGUCCCGCC